UAAGCAUAUCAAUAAGCGGAGGAAAAGAAACCAACAGGGAUUGCCUUAGUAACGGCGAGUGAAGCGGCAAAAGCUCAGAUUUGAAAUCUAACGCCAUUUUGACGUUCGAGUUGUAAUCUGUAGAGGAGUAUUCGAGUGUAGCUUUGGCUUAAGUUCCUUGGAACAGGGCGUCAUAGAGGGUGAGAACCCCGUUAACGGCCUUUGUCUUAUGCUCAUGUGAAUCUCCUUCAACGAGUCGAGUUGUUUGGGAAUGCAGCUCUAAAUUGGUGGUAAAUUCCAUCUAAAGCUAAAUACUGGCAAGAGACCGAUAGCGCACAAGUAGAGUGAUCGAAAGAUGAAAAGAACUCUGAACAGAGAGUUAAAUAGUACGUGAAAUUGUUGAAAGGGAAGCACUUGCGACCAGACGCACUUUCAGUCAAUCAACCUCCAUUCUUGGUGGUGCACUUGAUUGUUGGUGGGUCAGCAUCAGUUACAACGGUGGGAAAAAGACUCUGGGAAUGUGGCUUCCUUCGGGGAGUGUUAUAGCCCUUGGUGUAAUGCCGCCUGCUGUGACUGAGGACCGCGCUUUGGCGAGGAUGCUGACACAAUGGUCGUAAGUGACCCGUCUUGAAACACGGACCAAGGAGUCUAACAUCUAUGCGAGUGUUUGGGUGUCGAAACCCUUACGCGGAAUGAAAGUGAAUGGAGGUGGGAACCGCAAGGUGCACCAUCGACCGAUCCUGAUGUUUUCGGAUGGAUUUGAGUAGGAGCAUAGCUGUUGGGACCCGAAAGAUGGUGAACUAUGCCUGAAUAGGGUGAAGCCAGAGGAAACUCUGGUGGAGGCUCGCAGCGGUUCUGACGUGCAAAUCGAUCGUCAAAUUUGGGUAUAGGGGCGAAAGACUAAUCGAACCAUCUAGUAGCUGGUUCCGGCCGAAGUUUCCCUCAGGAUAGCAGUAACGAUAAUAGUUUUAUGAGGUAAAGCGAAUGAUUAGAGGCCUUGGGGUUGCAACAACCUUAACCUAUUCUCAAACUUUAAAUAUGUAAGAAGUCCCUGUUUCUUAAUUGAACGGAGACAUUGGAAUAUACGUUACUAGUGGGCCAUUUUUGGUAAGCAGAACUGGCGAUGCGGGAUGAACCGAACGCGAGGUUAAGGUGCCAGAAUGUACGCUCAUCAGACACCACAAAAGGUGUUAGUUCAUCUAGACAGCAGGACGGUGGCCAUGGAAGUUGGAAUCCGCUAAGGAGUGUGUAACAACUCACCUGCCGAAUGAACUAGCCCUGAAAAUGGAUGGCGCUUAAGCGUGCUACCUAUACCUUGCCGCCAUGGUAGACACCAUGCCAUGGCGAGUAGGCCGGCGUAGAGGUCAGUGACGAAGCCUUGGGAGUGAUCCUGGGUGGAACGGCCUCUAUG
rnacentral:rRNA from 1 species